rnacentral:rRNA from 1 species
AGCGGGGGAUCUUCGGACCCUGCACUAUUGGAAGAGCUUGCGUUGGAUUAGCUAGUUGGUAGGGUAAAGGCCUACCAAGGCGACGAUCCAUAACUGGUCUGAGAGGAUGAUCAGUCACACCGGAACUGAGACACGGUCCAGACUCCUACGGGAGGCAGCAGUGGGGAAUAUUGGACAAUGGGGGCAACCCUGAUCCAGCCAUGCCGCGUGUGUGAAGAAGGCCUUCGGGUUGUAAAGCACUUUCAGUAGGGAGGAAAGCUCGGUUGCUAAUAUCGGCCGGGAUUGACGUUACCUACAGAAGCAGCACCGGCUAACUUCGUGCCAGCAGCCGCGGUAAUACGAAGGGUGCAAGCGUUAAUCGGAAUUACUGGGCGUAAAGCGCGCGUAGGCGGUUUGGUAAGUGUGAUGUGAAAGCCCCGGGCUCAACCUGGGAAUUGCCUCACAUACUGCCAGGCUAGAGUACGGUAGAGGGGGGUAGAAUUCCACGUGUAGCGGUGAAAUGCGUAGAGAUGUGGAGGAAUACCAGUGGCGA